AGGGAGGGAGGGAGGGAGGGAAAAAUUGAAAUAGAUAGAAGGAGGAUGGAAAAAAAAAAGAGGGGGAAAAAUGGAAAGACACAAACAAGAGUUAAGAGGAGUACACAGACUGAUCCCUUAGGAAGAGGGGCAGGCCAUCAGGAUGGGGCUAGGAGAUCAACAGUAUGGAGAGCAGAAGACCAGCAUAGACCAGAUUGGGGGUGAGGGCCUACAGCUGCAGCUGGAGUUAUGUUCAUCAACAUGGCUCACAGCACAGCUGCAGAGCCAAGCCGACACCUCGAAAUAUGAUGUGAAGCGAAUAUAAAAACAGAGAAACCAUCGAAACAAAUGUGUGCUUGUUUUGGCUCAAAGGGGAAAGUUAAUCUGCGGAAAGGAAAGGAGAAGAGACGUCUCCCAAGCCAGCGAGGUCGAUCCAUCUGACUGACAGUCCGAACCAAGCGCUCCCUCUACAGAGCCUCUCUGUGUCUCCUGAGAUGGAGCAGCGACUUAACUCAGGCCAACGUGGUGAAUGAAUCAGGAUCAAGGCACAAAAUAAAAAAGGCCUUCCAUCAUUUCCCCAGAAGCCCGAAUCAGUCCUGCUUCCAUGGAAUGCCCCGGAGGACGACUCAACCAUGUCUGACUGCUUCUUCCUCUAACGUUUCUCAGAGGCAAUCUCUCACGACAAGAAGAAAUGCAUCCUCUCGAAGGGAAAGUCCUUUCAGAUGUUUCCGAUAAAGCCACAGAAGCUCUUUAUUCCUACCAGUAGCAGUAGACCUGGUGGAGGCACAGUUGAGUGAGGCUGUGCCUCCACUGUGCCUCCACUGUGCCUCCACUGUGACUCCACUGUGCCUCCACUGUGCCUCCACUGUGCCCUGUCCUUGUGAGUUGGGAAGGACUUUGCCUCACUGGCCCUGGAUUAUCUUCUACUGAUAACCUCUGCUUUGCAAAAUUAGUUUAUGCAAAACUUGACAUGCAAAUCCUGAGAUGAAUAGACGCGCAUGGCUUGCCGGCUAACCACACUAACUGUCCAUUGUUUGUUUAUAGAUAGCGUGCUGUGAGCAAGAUGUUAUGAGCAAAGCAUUUAUAGCUUGACUACUAUCAUCACUUCAAAAACGGAAAAUCAUUUUCGACAAAAUUCUUAAAAUAUAAAAAGUAAAGGUUGGUGUGCAACAGAAUAUUUGUUCUUCUAAGUAAUUAUGACUUCCCGCUAUCCGUGCGUUAUCUUACCAUUUUAACGAUCUAAAUAGGGGCUUAAACAUAGUGAAAUAUUCAGACAUGCUUUCAUUUUACAGAACAGGAAAUAGCGGAUAAUUCCACGUCAGAUUGACCCAGGGUGGCAGUACAACUGCAUGAACCAGCAGAACUCUACUGCAGCAACACAAAUAAAGAUUUAUCAGAUAAACUGAGAUUAUUAUGAUUUUUGCUCAAACGAAUGAACAUACAAUUUCAACUUGACAAUUAAUGUGUCAAUUAACAGAAUUAAAAAAAUCUUACCAAAGUAAACCUCCUUAUCGCAUUUUGGGCACUUGGGCAUUUUUGCAAAAUUAAGUGAUGAUCUCCAAGAG